rnacentral:rRNA from 1 species
AUGGAUCUUGAGGUCCUGGAGCAUAUACUUGAUGGAAGAGAGAAGCCAAGAAAUCUAUCAUUCACAUUUUUGAAGAAUAUCACUGAGAACUUCUCGGAAGAUCGAGAAAUCGGCCAUGGUGGAUUUGCAACGGUUUAUAAGGGAGUGCUCCCAAAUGGAAACGUCGCGGUAAAGAGGAUAAGGAACAGUCAUUCAAUCAAUGAGACAUUAUUUUGUCGUGAAGUUGACAGCCUGUUGAACAUUGAACAUAAAAAUGUUGUACGGUUUCUUGGCUUCUGUGCUAGCACAGAGCAAACAGCCAUCCAAAUCGAAGGAUCGAAACAACAUAUUUACGCUGAGAUAAGAGAAAGACUACUCUGUUUUGAGUAUAUCAGCAAUGGAAGCCUACAAAAAUAUAUUACUGAUGAAUUAAGGGGCCUUGAAUGGAAUACACGAUAUGGAAUAAUUAGAGGCAUUUGUGAAGGUUUGUAUCAUCUGCACAAGGAAAAGCAGAUAUACCAUAUGGAUCUAAAACCCGACAAUAUACUCCUAGAUAAUGAUAUGGCGCCGAAAAUCACGGAUUUUGGCUUAUCAAGACUUGAUGAAAAGACCAAAACCAUGAGUGAAUACCGUCUUGGAUCAUUUCGAUAUUGUGCUCCAGAAUACCUACACCAGGGGAAGAUGUCAUUCAAAUCAGACAUGUACAGUUUGGGUGUUAUAAUUAUCGAACUAGUGACAGGAGAAAAGGUGAUCCCGCAUAAUAAUAACAACAAUGUACUUAGGAGAUGGAGGCACAGAUGGAAAAAAUCAGGGAAGGAAACACCAUUGGUCUACCAACAAGUAGCAAAAUGCAUCAAAAUUGGGCUACUCUGCCAGGAACAGGACCCGUCCAAACGGCCUUUUAUAUGGGAUAUGAUACAUGAUAUAAGAGAAACUGAAGGUAUUAAUGGAAAAACCAGCAAUUCCUAUGAACAUUCAUUUGGACAGAUAAUCCCUUACUUAGAAGACGACAUGCUUGGCAUUGAGCCACUUGAACUACAUUUUCCUUUUGAGCUUAACAAACAGAUGUCAUGCGCACUCCAGCUAACAAAUGAGACAAACUCUUAUAUUGCCUUCAACAUCCAAAAUACGAGCCCCUUGUCAUACUGCACAAAACCGCAGAAAGACAUUAUGCCGCCACAAUCCAAGUGUACUAUUGAAAUUACAAUGCAACUGCAGGGCAAGGCACCAGGGUAUAUGCAUCGCACCAAUGAACUUACUGUGUGGAGCACCAAACUGAAUGAUAGCCUUGCAGUUGAGGAUAUAACUACAAACAUGUUCAUUAAUGAGGCGGUCAACACGGUUGAUGAGGUGAAUUUGGAUGUGGCUUUUGAUGCACGGCCACAAAGCGAGCUUCUUGAUGUCCACCCUCCCGAGCUUGGCCCUUCCUUGGAAUCCAGAAAGUUUGUAGUUAUAUCCUCAGCUGCAAGGCAAGAGUUGCCAUUAUAA